rnacentral:lncRNA from 1 species
AAGCAUGCGAAUAACUAAAAUAUCAAAUAUAGAGAGAGAGAGAGAGUAGGGGUACUAUACUCUUAUGAGUAUAGAGCUCUUCGUACUCAUAAGUUGUUUUCGAUGUUGGGAUUUUCGAAUCGAUGAUUCAUACCGUUAAAUAUGAUCUAAAGUAUUUGAAACUUCUAGAAAAAUUUCGUAAUUUUUCGAAAUCAUUAUAAACUCCAUCAAGCGGGUAUAAAAUGAACAGUUAAAAUCGAAUGACAUUCUAAAAAUGGAUGAUCGGAUCCUUCAAUUUAAGAUCGGAGUAGUUAUUGAUCUUUAAUUAGGUAGUGAAACAAAUUUUCUAUCAAAAGUUUAACCUAUUCCGAUUCUUUUUCACCGUUAAACCAGCAAAUAUCUCAUACUUGCCAUUAAAAAUUAAUUGUCAAUUUUGUGUGCUUUUGAUCGUAAAGUAAAUGAUAUCGAAAAAUUAUAAAAUUUGAUUUCUAGAAGUUUUAAAUGUUCUAGAUAAUGUUUAACGGUAUUGAUCGUCGAUUCAGAAGCUCUAUCACCGAAAACAACUUAUGAAUUUGAAGGCGAUCGUACUCACAAGAGUAUAGUAGCCGGACUGUAUAUAUAUAUAUAUAUAUAUAUAUAUAGAUAGAGAGAGAGAGAGAGAGAGAGAGCGAGCUAGACUCCUAUAUGCUUUCAAAAAUACGGAGGCCUUCGUGCUUGUAAAUUAUUUUCGAUGAUGUAGCAUCCGAUUCGGUGAUCGGCGACACUAUUGGAACUAUUUAGAAACCAAAUUUCAUAAUUUUUCGACUUCAUAUGCCUAGUGAACGAGUUGACUCCAAAUGAACGGCUGAAAAUAAAAAUAUCACAAAAAAUAAUGAUAAAAAACUCAAAUUUCAAAUAGGAAAUAUUGUUCUUACUCUUGAUGUUAAGUAGAUUUUUUUAUUAAAGUUUCAUGUAAGUUGGAUUAAUUCUUCUGCACCGUUAAACUGUAAAACGUGCCACAUCAGCCGUUAAAAUAGUCAUUUUUUAGACUCUUUGAUCACUUACUAAAUGAUGUCAAAAUAUUAUGAAAUUUGGUUUCUAAAUAGUUCUAAUAGCGUAGAUCAUACCUAACGGAGCCGAUCGCCAAAUCGGAUGCUUGAUCAUCGAAAAUAACUUAUAAGCAUAGAGG